GCUCGCCAGUCUUUGGCAAGAGACCGUCCCGUUCAGAUCGAAAUAACUAGUGACGCAGUAGGUGUCCAUAUAAACGCGUGUGGCCCUCCAUAGCGGAAAAAUGUCCGACAAUGGCGAGGAAAGCCUGGUGGAGACUGUCGAGGAGAGCUAUGAGACGGAGGUCAAACGCAAGGUCGUCACCAAGACCAAGAUGAAAAUCCAAGAAACGUCGUCGACGACCAAAACCACAACUAUGACAACCCCAGCCAAACUAUAUGGCAAAGACCUAAGUGUAUAUGAUGAUGUAGAUGUAGAGACCCUCUUAGAUAAGUUAACCCCCGAGGAAAUAAAUAUAUUAGCCAAAGAAGUGGACCCCGAUGAUUCAUUUCUACCCCCUUCGCAAAGAACAAGUUACGAUUGUGAUAAGGAACCCACUGGACCAUUAAAUAGGAAACAAUUAAUUGAACAUAUUAAUAGGCAAGCGAUAGAAACGCCAGAUAGACCAGAAUUAAAACCAUACGAAGCAGGUGUUGUUCGAGGCAAAAAAUGGAUUCCACCUCCUCCGCCAAAGAAAGAAAUAGAAGCAGAUGAAAAAAUAGCAGUGGAUUUAGGUGACGAGUAUGAACAUGCAUUAUCUGGUGCAACUCAGGAAGAAAUAAUUGAUUUGGCAGCUAUUUUGGGCUUCCAUUCAAUGAUGAACCAAGAACAGUAUCACGCCUCGUUACUCAACAAAGGCCAACCAGUCGGUUUAGGAUGGGAUGGCAUCACGAAGGCGUCGAAACCUAAGAUAUUUCCCAUGGACCCGCCUAACAAUACUGACGUUGAAGAUUCAAUUAGGCGAGUACAGAACGACGAUCCGAAAUACAUUGAUCUCAAUUGGAAUAAUAUUAAAAAUAUCUCUGACGAGAAGUUCAAUACGCUCUUCGAAGGUCUUGAACAAAAUACUCACCUAGAAACGUUAUCGUUAUCAAACACCAGUCUAACUGACCGGGGGGCCGAGCGACUGGCGCAAGCUCUCGAAAAGAAUAGCCAGUUGAGGGUUGUGAAUGUAGAGAGUAACAAUAUUACGCCGCUGGGUGUUGUGCGGUUGAUCAAGUCCCUGUUGAAACAAAAUAGUGUGGAGGAAUUCAGGGCGACCAACCAGAGAACGCAAAUUCUUGGUAACAAAAUAGAAAUGGAAAUAACGCAGCUCAUAGAGAAGAACCCAACAAUAUUGAGGCUGGGGUUGCAUUUAGAAUAUAACGAUGCGAGACAUCGUAUCGCUAUGCACUUACAAAGAAAUAUUGACACAAUUCGAAAAGACUUAAAAAUGCGAUUGCAGUUCAGAUUCUUUAACCACAGGAAGACACCCUUAAUUAAGUGAAAGAACGCCGGCUGACUCGGUUGGGAUCAACCAGUUCUUAAGAUAUGAUGCUUCUUGUCAUGACUUCGCAAGGACCGUACUGGAAAGUUGCCACCCAACUACUUGGUUGGUUACCUACGCUCAUAAAGAAUGCAAACAUCGUUUUAAUCGCCUUGCUUCAAUGUUGCAUCUCAAACUGGGCCACGUAGCGUUCUUUCGUCACUUAUAAUAUUAAGUUAAACUUAGGUAUUCUGUAUGUUAUCUUAAGAUUAGUUCUAAUAAGAAAUAUUGUAUAUUAUACAUAUUUUUUGAGUUCCCUCUAGUGAUUUGCUUAUAAUGAUAUCUGUUCGCCUUAAUGAUAUCUUUCGAAAAUGUAAGUAUGUGAAACUUAUUCUUUAUUUUGAAAGAUAACAAUAGCGAACUUAUGUGCAAUACGUAACUAUUUUUUCGAAAAGUUCAUGCUUUUGUGAGAAGGUAAAAAAGCUUAAAAUGGCUUUGCAUUCAACGAUUUAUAUUAAUUUUUGAUACAAUAACCCAAAUUAGUUUAACAAAGUAAAGUAAUUUAUCAUUUUAAAGUUCAAUGAAAAGGUCGUUCCUUAGUUUUUUUAAGGUACGAAGUUUCUUUCUUGAGAUCUUUGAAUCCUACUCAGAAGUACAUCUUGUUUAUUUGGGUUAUUGAAGUUAAUACACCUGAGGUGAACCGCAUGCAGAUUUCUUUUGAAAGUCAUGGCAAUUUUAACUAUUAUUAAUCUUAUUUUAAGUUUACAGAUAAAAUCAAUUUAUGUAAAUAUUGUUUGCUUUAAAUAAUUUUGCUUAAACUCAGACCAUUCAUCGAUUUAAUUUUAAUUUGGAGCGAAUUUUGUUGUAAUUUAUUGAAUUAGAGCAUUGUGUUUCGAGUUCUAUGUUUGUAAAUAUCUCGCUCUUCGAUUAUUCUAUCUUCUAAAUAUUUUUGUUUAAAACAAUAUUUAUUCCAUCUAUUAAAUUAUUUAAUUAGGCAUUUCAGUUUUUAUCAAAUCAUCAGUCACUCUAUAAACACGCUGAUAUGGCUUGUAGUUAUGAAGGUCUUGUAUUUUCACAGGGAGAAAAAUAAAUAAAUUGUACUACUGAA
rnacentral:misc_RNA from 1 species